rnacentral:lncRNA from 1 species
AUGGUGUUCUUCAUAGAGAGAAUAAGCUUUACAACAGUAAAGAGGCUUGGGCUUUGCCAGAAAUUUGGAACAGCUUUCUGUCCAGCAAAAAGUAUUUUUGUAAGAUACCAUUCUUCAAACAGAAUACUUCAAAGGAUAUUUGGGUUUCUUUUUCAUUUGUCCUAAAGACUAAUAGUUCAUUACCUUUUGGCUGAAUUUUGUAAUGUCAACACCUAGAGAAACUUCAAGAAAAAGGCUUUUUACAAGUAAGUAAUGUAUCUACACAUCACAUAUGCCAAAAUGCAUUAAUAGCUGUUAGCUAUUAUACUAGUUAUCCCAUGAGAAGAGAUGCAACAAUGCAUCUUCCCAGAGGUCACCUCUUUCCAGAGUCCAAGCAGAAUAUAAAAUACCAGCAUAUUUAUAACACAUUUUAUAUCAUGUCAUGCUUAACUAUUGCGUGAUACUGACUUUAGACUAUUCUGAUUUUUCUGAAACCCUUUUGGCCAUUACCUAAUUUAGAUUUGGACUGUCACCAGUAUCAAUGAAACUUUGACCUCCACAUCUCUGGAAAGAAGUGAGUGCAGAGUCAUUUCAUAUUAUUGCUCCAUUAAUUGUUUCAAUCCAAUGCUUUUCUCUGUCUAAAAUGCCUGCUUAAAUUUUGUGCUUCUCCUCAUGAGGACAAUAGUACUAGGAUAGACUUGUAGUUUAUUUUUCAGUCCUAGCAUAAUGCUGUUCUUUUUGCAUUUUCAAAGCCAUUUCAAUGCUAUUAUUUUAUAGCAAUAAGAAGUCUCCAAUUUGUAAUCCAUAUAACUUUUGUUGAACAAAAUAACACAAUAUGAAUUUGGUUAACAGUUCUGCUUUUUGAUAAAAGUAGUUAAUUGUACAAAAUGAAAACCUGUCUAGGUGAGACACAGAACACUCCUGGAAACUGGGCUGAACAGCUCUCUCAGUGGCUGAACACCUCAAAAGCAACAUGCUCUUCCAAUCCAGCUAUAUGGCAUAGUUCUUUCACGUUGACUUAAAUAAGCUGAAAAAUGAAACUGCACUGAAGAACACAAGUCUAUCUUCAGCACCCUGCAUACUCAGCAAGGAUCCAUAGAGGGAACAAGCAAAAUAUGUCACAGAUAUUUCAUGCACUAAUGAAGACAGUCAUCCAGUUGGCUACUCAUCCAAGAGUCCACCUGAAAUACAGUAUGGAAUAGAGCAGAACAAGCAGUGAAAUUAGGUCUGUUAUGAAAUGAGAUCUCUAACAAAAUAGUAUAUACUUUCAUCAAAGGAACUGCAUGGUCAAAUAUUGAAGACAAUUAAGGGAUUCCAUGCAUGAUGGUCAGACUUUGCCUGGUACCAGAGCUUCCCAUUCAUCCCAGAGAGCUAGAGGCAAUUAUCUGAGCUUUCUCUUCUUUAAAACCAGUCUUUCUUCUACCAAGAACUUACCAUAGUUCUGGUCAAGGUUUCUCCACAGAAGAUGUCAUCAGACUAAUUUGUUUUGGAAGGUGGAUUAAGAAAAUGAAUACUACCCCAUUGCCCUUAGAUGUUGUCCAAUCUGUCUGCUCCAAGAUUCCUUAGGUCUGAAGGGACUGCACCACCAUCACAUCCCCGACAAGUAUGUUGUCUUGGACUUUCUGCCAUUUUCCCCUCUAGGGGAGGGUGAAAGGGUCACUGCCACUUGUCUUGCUGCUGAUUUCCUUAUGUAAAACAACUUCACCUGGGACCAGAGUUUGCAAAUGUGACUUCCCUUCUGCCCCUCAAACUGUGGAUCUUGAAGUUAGUGCUCCAGUGCUGAAAAGGAAAUGUUUUCCUUGCAAUUAGGUACUGAUUGCACCAAGACCAGGUACUCAAGAUAUUCUUUUCAGACCAGAGGACUUGAAGCUUAUUCUUUAUUUUAAAAUAAAAAACAGAAUUUCUGAUGUAAUUCCA